rnacentral:pre_miRNA from 13 species
AAAAGGUCCUGCUCCGUCGGCCCAGUGUUCAGACUACCUGUUCAGGACAAUAUUGUUGUACAGUAGUCUGCACAUUGGUUAGAUUGGGCAUGGGAAAGCA